ACUCCUACGGGAGGCAGCAGUAGGAAGGUCUUCGGCAAUGGGGGCAACCCUGACCGAGCAACGCCGCGUGAGUGAAGAAGGUUUUCGGAUCGUAAAACUCUGUUGUUGAAGAAGAACAUGCGUGAGAGUAACUGUUCACGUACUGACGGUAUUCAACCAGAAAGCCACGGCUAACUACGUGCCAGCAGCCGCGGUAAUACGUAGGUGGCAAGCGUUGUCCGGAUUUAUUGGGGCGUAAAGAGAAUGUAGGCGGUUUAUUAAGUUUGAAGUGAAAGCCCUCGGCUCAACCGAGGAAGUGCUUCGAAAACUGGUAAACUUGAGUGCAGAAGAGGAAAGUGGAACUCCAUGUGUAGCGGUGGAAUGCGUAGAUAUAUGGAAGAACACCAGUGGCGAAGGCGGCUUUCUGGUCUGUAACUGACGCUGAGAUUCGAAAGCAUGGGUAGCAAACAGGAUUAGAUACCCUGGUAGGAUAGCG
rnacentral:rRNA from 1 species